rnacentral:rRNA from 1 species
AUUGAACGCUGGCGGAAUGCUUUACACAUGCAAGUCGAACGGCAGCACGGGGGCAACCCUGGUGGCGAGUGGCGAACGGGUGAGUAAUACAUCGGAACGUGCCCAGUCGUGGGGGAUAACGUAGCGAAAGCUACGCUAAUACCGCAUACGAUCUACGGAUGAAAGCGGGGGAUCGCAAGACCUCGCGCGAUUGGAGCGGCCGAUGGCAGAUUAGGUAGUUGGUGGGGUAAAGGCUCACCAAGCCUUCGAUCUGUGGCUGGUCUGAGAGGACGACCAGCCACACUGGGACUGAGACACGGCCCAGACUCCUACGGGAGGCAGCAGUGGGGAAUUUUGGACAAUGGGCGAAAGCCUGAUCCAGCCAUUCCGCGUGCAGGAUGAAGGCCCUCGGGUUGUAAACUGCUUUUGUACGGAACGAAACGGCCUUUUCUAAUACAGAGGGCUAAUGACGGUACCGUAAGAAUAAGCACCGGCUAACUACGUGCCAGCAGCCGCGGUAAUGUAUCG